GUUUUCAACCAUUAUAUAUGCACCUUCUACCACUAUCACACGUUUUCCACCCUUCUUAAAUCCUGAAAAGAAAAUAGAGAGAACUGUGAGUUAGAGAAGAGAGUUAGAGUUACCCAAAGUUGAAUUCUUCAAGAUCAGAAGAAAAACCGAGAAGGGGCAGAGAAGCAAUCGAACGGAGGAUUUAGCGGUUCCAAAGCUGUGUCGAACUCGAAAAUCUCCAGGGUUUUCUUUCGCAAGCGAGUUUUCAAGUUAAGAAGUGUAGGAGAACGAGGUUGAGCUGUGACGAGCGCGGUGGGUGUUGAGCAAGGUCGUUGAAGAAAUUUCAUGUUCAGAAUGUGUCAUGUCUUCACACGUGGCAUAUUCCUUCUCUCGAAUGCUUCCGCUGAGUAGUUGUCUUUCUUUUGAGUUCUUGUAUUGCUGAGAUAAUAUUCUUUUGAGUUGUUGACUAUUGAGAUACUCUAAUUUUAUUCGAGCUAUUCCCAUUA